UUCCUCUUUCAUUUCUAUGUGCUUUUCCAGGUAGAUGGGAGGUCACUAAUGCAUAAGGAGGAUCUUAAAACCUUCAUGGGCACCAGGGGAAGUUGUAUGGGUAACCCUAGCCACAUAGCUUCAUGCUUUCAAGGUGUUGCUGGGGCAAACUCAAUUGAUAUAAGACUAACAUUGUGGCGUGGAUCCACUGUAGGUGAGAAUGUUGUUCAUCCCUUCAUUACUGAUUUUCUUGAUUGUAUGAAUGUCUGGUAGCCAGUACUGUGCCUUUACAAGGCACUAACAGGAGGACAGUUCUGAGCAGGUAGGGGUGAUAAAUGUGCAUGAAUGUUAGACAUGAUGGCAUGGCAAUGAACCAAUGGGUGCUCUUGCAGCAUUCCAGCAUUUAAAAAAUCAGAGACUUUGCUUUAUGUCUGUAUGAAGCCCCCGUUCUGAAUGCUAAGCAAUGCAUAGCAUAAUCUUACGUUGGCCACUGUUAUUAGGAGCAAACAACCACAAGCAAAUUUGAUGCUUGCCGUAUUUAUAUUUCUAAAUGUAUUUAAAUUCUGCAGGUUAACAGGUGGAAGAUAAGUCCUUGCUUUUUCUCCCAUCUCUCUAAGGGAGAAGAGGCAUAAGGUGGUAAAAUGGAAGAGAAGGUCAGUGCAGGCUUCUGGGAACAAAGCUGAGGUUCUCCGCACGCUAUAUAACAAACCAGGCUCUACUGUUGCCUUCAGCACAGGGAUGACAUCCGCCCUCAAUGCACGUUGCCAGUCAUCAGAACGUCUCCAAACACAAACCAAGGAUUCUAAGCAGGGAUUUCCACAAGCAGGUGCUACAUCCAACAAGAAACCUUGCAAAAUCAAGUGAGAGUUAUUUGUCACCUGGAAGAUAAAUGCUGCAUUAAAAGGCAGGCCUUGAUGAUGAACGUAAGCCUAGCCUCAACAGCAAGAUAUGUACUGGUCAUGUAUGGGUGAGAUAAUAAAGGGUACAUCCUAGGUUUCAUCGUUUUGGUUCAUGCGGCCAACUGGGAAAACACAACAUGAUGGGAAAACAAAUUGUUUAGGAGGAUUUCACUUGUACAAGUGAGUGGAGGCAGAAACUCUUCGGAAGCUGAGGUUUGAUUAACAGGCAUUUGCU